UAGGGAAUCUUCCACAAUGGACGAAAGUCUGAUGGAGCAACGCCGCGUGAGUGAAGAAGGGUUUCGGCUCGUAAAACACUGUUGUAAGAGAAGAAUGACAUUGAGAGUAACUGUUCAAUGUGUGACGGUAUCUUACCAGAAAGGGACGGCUAAAUACGUGCCACCAG
rnacentral:rRNA from 1 species